rnacentral:rRNA from 1 species
UGUAAGCGUAUACCAAAGUUGUUGCAGUUAAAACGCUCGUAGUCGGAAUUUGGCAGUUCCGGAUGUGUGCACGUCGUGUGCGCACUUCGCGGGGAUUGCUUUUGUGGUCUUGCGUAGGAUGAGGCACUUUUAUUAGUGAACGUCCUCACGCAACCACUUUUUACUGUGAGAAAAUCAGAGUGCUCAAAGCAGGCAUUUGCCGUGAAUGUACUAGCAUGGAAUAAUAGAAUAGGACUUGGUUCUAUUUUGUUGGUUUGUUGGGACUGAGUAAUGAUUAAGAGGGACAGUUGGGGGCAUUUGUAUUUCGGUGCUAGAGGUGAAAUUCUUAGAUUACCGAAAGACAAACUGCUGCGAAAGCGUCUGCCAAGGAUGUUUUCAUUGA